GACGCCACCUGCUGGCGCGGAGGAACACUACAGCAGCAUCAAAUCAAAGACGACUGGACAAAGUGCACACACACACACACACACACGCACACACACACUCUAUUGAGGGCUCCCAAACAUUUUCAAAAGUGAGAUCUACUUCUUUGGUACCGAAUAAUGCGAAGGUCUGCCAGUUUAAUAUUCACUUCUGCAAUCACAAAUUUGCCCAAAUGAAGUUAUUAUUAAGGAGGAUAUUCAUCCAUGCAAAGACUCAUCACAUCAAUGAUUUUUCACAAUAAGCUGAGACACGCUGUUUCGGUUUGUUUUUCCCGUCCUCUGAUUGGUUGAGCUGAACAUGCGCAUGAAAUUGAUUUACUGACAAAGACGACGUUGGACAGGAUUCCAAAAAAUCAUUUUCCAGACGCGCUUUUCAAGGAACAAUUCUAUUUUGCGAGGCUGGCUCAGACAAAAUAAAAUGCUGUUGCUGUCCGGCCUGAAAAUGAUUCCGACAGCAAGCAUCCACAGGCAGGCAGGAGAAAAGGAAGUUGGGUCUGCUGCCUCCGUCAGCAUCUCCACGCUUCUGUUUCUGUUUCCGCCCCCAGCCGACCAAUCGCAUUGUUGUCGUCACAUCUUACAGCACGAGCCACGGUCCGCACGGUAAGCAAAGUAACACAGCAUCAUAGGGAUCUCAUUGUUCGAAGGCAUCACAGUCAGGAGAAGGGGACAAAAUCAUUUCCAAGGUAUGAAACGUACUGUGAAGACAGACGGUCGUCAUCAAUUGGAGAAAAUAAAAGCAACAAGUGGACGUUCCCCAAAAAGAUCAGAGAAGCGCUCAGGGAGGUUGCCAAGAGGCCAGCAGCAACAUUGAAGGAGCUGCAGGAAUUGCUGGCAAUUACUGGCUAUUUCGUACACUGGACAACAACCUCCAAUAUUCUUUAUGUCUGAGCUAUGGAGGAAGACGGAAAGUCUUACCUUACAGAGAAAAACAUCGGGGGGGGGGGGGGUUUUCCUUAAAUUGAUUCAUUGUAUGAAUUUUUUCUUUUUUCUUCUUUUAUCAAAAUAAAUCAUUUGUCUUUUUUUUUUUUUUUUAGUAAAAUAGGAGAUUUAACAAAAGGAGUAAAAAUUAACAAUUUGGCAGAGUGUUGAAUGUCACUUCUUUAUGUCCAAUUAAAGAAUAAAAUGAGCAGAAAAGUU